rnacentral:piRNA from 1 species
UAAUAUUUACCCAAAUAUUUCCUUGACCCU